UCGUAACAAGGUUUCCGUAGGUGAACCUGCGGAAGGAUCAUUGUCGUGACCCUGACCAAAACAGACCGCGCACGCGUCAUCCAAUCCGUCGGUGACGGCAUCGUCCGUCGCUCGGCCAAUGCCUCGACCACCUCCCCUCCUCGGAGUGGGUGGGGGCUCGGGGUAAAAGAACCCACGGCGCCGAAGGCGUCAAGGAACACUGUGCCUAACCCGGGGGCAUGGCUAGCUUGCUAGCCAUCCCUCGUGUUGCAAAGCUAUUUAAUCCACACGACUCUCGGCAACGGAUAUCUCGGCUCUCGCAUCGAUGAAGAACGUAGCGAAAUGCGAUACCUGGUGUGAAUUGCAGAAUCCCGCGAACCAUCGAGUCUUUGAACGCAAGUUGCGCCCGAGGCCACUCGGCCGAGGGCACGCCUGCCUGGGCGUCACGCCAAAACACGCUCCCAACACCCCUCAUCGGGAAUCGGGAUGCGGCAUCUGGUCCCUCGUCUCGCAAGGGGCGGUGGACCGAAGAUCGGGCUGCCGGCAUACCGCGCCGGACACAGCGCAUGGUGGGCGUCCUCGCUUUAUCAACGCAGUGCAUCCGACGCGCAGCCGGCACGAUGGCCUCAAAACGACCCAGCAAACGAAGCGCACGUCGCUUCGACCGCGACCCCAGGUCAGGCGGGACUACCCGCUGAGUUUAAGCAUAUCAAUAAGCGGAGGA
rnacentral:rRNA from 1 species